CCUACGGGGGGCUGCAGUGGGGAAUAUUGGACAAUGGGGGCAACCCUGAUCCAGCCAUGCCGCGUGUGUGAAGAAGGCCCUCGGGUUGUAAAGCACUUUCAGUGAGGAAGAACGCCUGGUGGUUAAUACCCGUCAGGAAAGACAUCACUCACAGAAGAAGCACCGGCUAACUCCGUGCCAGCAGCCGCGGUAAUACGGAGGGUGCGAGCGUUAAUCGGAAUUACUGGGCGUAAAGCGCGCGUAGGUGGCUUGAUAAGCCGGUUGUGAAAGCCCCGGGCUCAACCUGGGAACGGCAUCCGGAACUGUCAAGCUAGAGUGCAGGAGAGGAAGGUAGAAUUCCCGGUGUAGCGGUGAAAUGCGUAGAGAUCGGGAGGAAUACCAGUGGCGAAGGCGGCCUUCUGGACUGACACUGACACUGAGGUGCGAAAGCGUGGGUAGCAAACAGGAUUAGAUACCCCUGUAGUC
rnacentral:rRNA from 1 species